rnacentral:rRNA from 1 species
AGUGAACGCUGGCGGUAGGCCUAACACAUGCAAGUCGAACGGCAGCACAGUAAGAGCUUGCUCUUACGGGUGGCGAGUGGCGGACGGGUGAGGAAUACAUCGGACUCUACUUUUUCGUGGGGGAUAACGUAGGGAAACUUACGCUAAUACCGCAUACUACCUACGGGUGAAAGCAGGGGAUCUUCGGACCUUGCGCGAUUGAAUGAGCCGAUGCCGGAUUAGCUAGUUGGCGGGGUAAAGGCCCACCAAGGCGACGAUCCGUAGCUGGUCUGAGAGGAUGAUCAGCCACACUGGAACUGAGACACGGUCCAGACUCCUACGGGAGGCAGCAGUGGGGAAUAUUGGACAAUGGGCGCAAGCCUGAUCCAGCCAUACCGCGUGGGUGAAGAAGGCCUUCGGGUUGUAAAGCCCUUUUGUUGGGAAAGAAAAGCAGCAGGUUAAUACCCCGCUGUUCUGACGGUACCCAAAGAAUAAGCACCGGCUAACUUCGUG